GAUGAAGAACGCAGCGAAAUGCGAUACGUAAUGUGAAUUGCAGAAUUCAGUGAAUCAUCGAGUCUUUGAACGCACAUUGCGCCCCCUGGUAUUCCGGGGGGCAUGCCUGUCCGAGCGUCAUUGCUGCCCUCAAGCACGGCUUGUGUGUUGGGCCUCCGUCCUCCUCCCGGGGGACGGGCCCGAAAGGCAGCGGCGGCACCGCGUCCGGUCCUCGAGCGUAUGGGGCUUCGUCACCCGCUCUUGUAGGCCCGGUCGGCGCUUGCCGACACAUCAAUCUUUUUUCCAGGUUGACCUCGGAUCAGGUAGGGAUACCCGCUGAACUUAAGCAUAUCAAUAGGCGGAGGA
rnacentral:misc_RNA from 1 species